rnacentral:rRNA from 1 species
CAUACCUAUUCGAAGGGAUAGGGUCGGUUUGGCCGGAUUUCACACAGGUGUUGCAUGGCUGUCGUCAGCUCGCGUCGUGAGAUGUUGGGUUAAGUCCCGCAACGAGCGCAACCCUCAUCCUUAGUUACCGUCAGGUUAUGCUGGGGACUUUAAGGAAACUGCCAGUGAUAAACUGGAGGAAGGUGGGGAUGAUGUCAAGUCAUCAUGGCCCUUAUGGAGUGGGCUACACACGUGCUACAAUGGUGAUUACAAUGGGCUGCAAGGUCGCAAGGCUGAGCUAAUCCUAAAAAAUCAUCUCAGUUCGGAUUGUUCUCUGCAACUCGAGAGCAUGAAGUUGGAAUCGCUAGUAAUCGUGGAUCAGCAUGCCACGGUGAAUACGUUCUCGGGUCUUGUACACACUGCCCGUCACGCCAUGGGAAUUGGUUUCACUCGAAGCU